rnacentral:misc_RNA from 1 species
GAAAUGCGAUAAGUAAUGUGAAUUGCAGAAUUCAGUGAAUCAUCGAAUCUUUGAUCGCACAUUGCGCCCGCCAGUAUUCUGGCGGGCAUGCCUGUUCGAGCGUCAUUACAACCCUCAGGCCCCCGGGCCUGGCGUUGGGGAUCGGCGGAAGCCCCCUGCGGGCACAACGCCGUCCCCCAAAUACAGUGGCGGUCCCGCCGCAGCUUCCAUUGCGUAGUAGCUAACACCUCGCAACUGGAGAGCGGCGCGGCCACGCCGUAAAACACCCAACUUCUGAAUGUUGACCUCGAAUCAGGUAGGAAUACCCGCUGAACUUAAGC